UACGUAGGGGGCAAGCGUUGUCCGGAAUCAUUGGGCGUAAAGAGCGCGUAGGCGGUCCGGUAAGUCCGCUGUGAAAGUCGGGGGCUCAACCCUCGAAUGCCGGUGGAUACUGCCGGGCUAGAGUCCGGAAGAGGCGAGUGGAAUUCCUGGUGUAGCGGUGAAAUGCGCAGAUAUCAGGAGGAACACCAAUGGCGAAGGCAGCUCGCUGGGACGGUACUGACGCUGAGGCGCGAAAGCGUGGGGAGCAAACAGG
rnacentral:rRNA from 1 species